UGUAACGAUACAUGGCACGCUGACCCAGCUCAGCAGCUCAGUUAAGAAAGUGAAGAGAGAAGAGAGAAAUUCAAGAAAGAGAAGAGAGAAACUUUCCGUGGUGUUUGCUGUCCUUAUACCAGUGUGGCUGAGCUCAUGGACCAAAGUCAUGUGGAAAUGAGUUGCUGAAAAAAGCAGAUGUAUUGGAGAAAGUCCAAGAAGCUACUACACAACAGACUGGUCAGUAUUCUUCAAGUGUCAAGCAAACUGAUCCUCACGCCUAAACAUUUCAUUCCGGUUUCAGAUUAAAUGAAUGCAGUCCGUGAAUGCAGGAAAGCGCAGCCGCAGCAACCCGGAGGGGACACCAUCCCGGGCCAGCAUUAAACGACCCAGAAGAGGGGAAAUCUAGUUCCUCCCUAACUAUCCCUGUGGUGAGAACAAGGACACACUGGAGACCAGAAGGA